rnacentral:rRNA from 1 species
GUGAACGCUGGCGGCGUGCCUAACACGUGCAAGUCGAACGAUGAUAGAGAGCUUGCUCCCUCGAUUAGUGGCGCACGGGUGAGUAUACCAUAGAUAAUGUACCUCUUAGUCCGGGAUAGCCACUGGAAACGGUGAUUAAUACCGGAUACUCCUUCUUACUCUAAGGUAAGUCGGGAAAGUUUUUUCGCUAAGAGAUCAGUCUAUGUCCUAUCAGCUAGUUGGUGAGGUAAUGGCUCACCAAGGCUAUGACGGGUAUCUGGUUUGAGAGGAUGAUCAGACACACUGGGACUGAGACACGGUCCAGACUCCUACGGGAGGCAGCAGUGAGGAAUAUUGCACAAUGGGGGAAACUCUGAUGCAGCAACGCCGCGAGGAGGAUGACGCAUUUCGGUGUGUAAACUCCUUUUAAGAGGGAAGAUAAUGACGGUACCUCUUGAAUAAGCACCGGCUAACUCCGU